rnacentral:rRNA from 1 species
GACAAACGCUGGCGGGGUGCAUGAGACAUGCAAGUCGAACGGGGUUGAGCGGGCUUGCUCGAUCAACCUAGUGGCGGACGGCUGAGUAACGCGUAGGUGACCUACCCGGAAGUGGGGAAUAACUGCCCGAAAGGGUGGCUAAUACCGCAUGUGGUCGGCGAUUCGGUUCGCCGCCCAAAGCCGCAAGGCGCUUCCGGAGGGGCCUGCGUCCGAUUAGCUAGUUGGUGGGGUAAUGGCUCACCAAGGCGACGAUCGGUAGCUGGUCUGAGAGGAUGAUCAGCCAGACUGGGACUGAGAACGGCCCAGACUCCUACGGGAGGCAGCAGUCGGGAAUUUUGCCCAAUGGACGAAAGUCUGAGGCAGCAACUCCGCGUGGGGACG